AUUGAACGCUGGCGGCAGGCCUAACACAUGCAAGUCGAACGAGUGGCGGACGGGUGAGUAAUGUCUGGGAAACUGCCUGAUGGAGGGGGAUAACUACUGGAAACGGUAGCUAAUAGCGCAUAACAUCAGAUGUGACCAUAUGGGAUUAGCUAGUUGGUGGGGUAACGGCUCACCAAGGCGACGAUCCCUAGCUGGUCUGAGAGGGUGACCAGCCACACUGGAACGGAGACACGGUCCAGACUCCUACGGGAGGCAGCAGUGGGGAAUAUUGCACAAUGGGCGCAAGCCUGAUGCAGCCAUGCCGCGUGUAUGAAGAAGGCCUUCGGGUUGUAAAGUACUUUCAGCGGGGAAGCGGUACCUGAAGAAGAAGCACCGGCUAACUCCGUGCCAGCAGCCGCGGUAAUAC
rnacentral:rRNA from 1 species